rnacentral:rRNA from 1 species
AAUAUUUCACAAUGGUGGGAACUCUGAUGCAGCAACGCCGCGCGAGUGAGGAAGGUUUUCGGAUCGCAAUACUCUGUUAGUGGGGAAGAAUAAAUGACGGUACCCCAUUAGGAAGCCCCGGCUACCUACGUGCCAGCAGCCGCGGUAAUACGUAGGGGGCGAGCGUUGUCCGGAAUUACUGGGCGUAAAGGGUACGUAGGCGGCUAUAUAAGUCAGGUGUGAAGUACCAGUGCUUAACACUGGAAUUGCAUUUGAAACUGUGUAGCUUGAGUGCAGGAGAGGAAAGUGGAAUUCCUAGUGUAGCGGUGAAAUGCGUAGAGAUUAGGAGGAACACCAGUGGCGAAGGCGACUUUCUGGACUGUAACUGACGCUGAGGUACGAAAGCGUGGGUAGCGAACA